rnacentral:rRNA from 1 species
UACGUACUGUGCGAACGUAUUCGGAAGUCACUGGGCUUAAAGGGUGUGUAGGCGGCCAGCUAAGUAGGGUGUGAAAGGCCUUGGCCUAAACCAAGGCAUUGCGCUCUAAACUGACUGGCUUGAGUGAGAUAGGGGUGUGCGGAACUUCCAGUGGAGCGGUGAAAUGUGUUGAUAUUGGAAGGAACGCCGGUGGCGAAAGCGGCACACUGGGUCUUGACUGACGCUGAGGACACGAAAGCCAGGGGGA